CCACUCAUCGACCAGUCAGGAGAGAGGACCUACUAGACUCAACGUCAACACACUGUUAUUUCAUUGUAUAAAUUGGAUGUACACUAUGUUUCGGGGCUCUCUCUUCUGCUAGUUCCCUAAGAGCUAAACGAACGAGCCUGUGCACGCUCAGCCAAAUAUCUUUGUCUCAUAAUAAACUGCCUUACUAUAUACUGAAUCCACCUGGUCCAUCGUCUUGACUUGGUUUCCUUCUCAAAUAACUAAUCAUCAACAAAAUUGGUAGCAGAGGAUGGUUUCAUACUUCUGAAAUUCGGUCCAUUUAGUGGUUGAUGUGAGAGGAGAGAAGUUUGGGACAAUUUCGCAAGGACGGGUGACCUGUUCGCAGGAGACAUCGGCGAUUCUGCCCGCCCCAGGAAACUGAUCAACGAGCUCGACUAUAUAAGAUUUUGUGUCCAACAGGUGAAUUACAAGAGAAGGUGAUUCACUCAAUCCAACCAGGAGACUGGGUGUGGAUCCAGUCCCUGAGGAGAAAAGCAGGGAAGCAGCCCCGUGGGGAAGGCCCAUACCAGGUUCUGUUAAACCAUUGCCUUUGCCAUUAGAAAAGAUGAGAGAGUCACUUGGGUCCACGUUACCCACUGCAAGGAGGUAUGUACUCAUAUGACCACUGCUGAUCACACACAGAGUUAGGAGAAGAACCGAUACCAACAGGGUCCGGGGGUUACCUCCUUAACGAAGAUUCCCUAUCCCGACCGUUCAUCACUGUGUGUGCUCCUAGAGGUGUGAGUAUGGGGUGGUACCAAGCAGAGAGACUAAGGGCAGGAGAGGGUUGACGGUUUUUGGGAAGAGUAGAGACUCUGAGCUGCAUCAUAGUCUAAUCUUUCUGAUACAUUCAGAUCCAACACCUACGGGUACUAAACAUAGGUUACCGUUGUCAUUGAGAAGAAGUAAAAGAUAAACUAUAUAAUACACUGAUGAGUGACGUACAGAAUAAGGAAUCAAAGAAGAUCAAGAUGUAGAAUUGAAGGUAAACAUUAAACAAUUUCCUGGGGAAGCAGACAACUUUACAGGAAUUGGGGUUGGCCAGAUUGUACUCAGCCAACCCACCUCGGUUCACCUAAAUUCCGGAUGAAUACCAGUGUUAUAGAUACAAGAAUGGUACCGAGAACUAAGAUGAUUUUAAUGGCUGAAAGUAAUCGUUAAUGUGACUAACUUAGGUUUGAGAGAUGAAUAGAACAUUCUUAACCUCACAGCACCUAUAACUGAUGAAGGGUGGGCUAGUACCAGCAAAGGACGCAUACGACAGAAAUUACCACAAAGGGUGGUUAGGAAUUGCGCCCUGGGGUUAUUGGUCUAACCAGUUCGAGUUAGUCAUCAGAGGCCAGUUAUAGGAGGCUAAAGUAGGCACAGGAGGAGUUUUGACCAGGAUGGGAGUAGCUUUACAAGAUGGAUGCUAUUGGCAUCCUCAGGGAAGUUCCAGAUGAAUACAAAGCUAUGAAUCAAAUAUGUGAAGGCUUUAACACUACAUUAUUUUGGUGGUUAACAAUAAAUAAUAAUGGGGAUUGAAUUAAUGACAUCUUUUAAUCAACAGAGAUUCAUGAAUGAAACAGGGGAUGCAGUAAAGAGGUUCUCUGACCAAUUAUCCGCCACCUCCCUCAUGACCUGGUAAAAUAGACUGACUCUAGAUAGGUUACAGGCAAAGAGGAUGGUGUAGGUAGAAUGAUUAGGUUCAUUGCUGUACGUACAUUUUUGAUAACACAGAUCAUGUUUGGGAAAUGGAAAAGUGUUGCAAGAACUGUAAUAUGGGCUGCUUUCACCUGUAUGAGUGUGUUUGGGUUGUGUGGUUGUUGUUUGGUCCCGUGUGCAAGAGGUUUAAUCACCAGAACUCUAGAGAGAUGGAUAACGGAGCAGAUGGUGAGCUACGGACCGAGUCAAAGUUCAGAUCAAUGAGACGACAAGUACCUACCGCCGAGCAAGCCUGUUUCCCUUUUCCUUUGUCACGUCUUGCAGACGUGAAGAGGGGGAUUUGUAAUAAAGAUAAUCUAACGUUUUACCCAAUGAUAUAUAAGGAGGGCAUUUGCACAACAUGUUUCACAACAGCACACAACAAAAUUCCAGAGACAUAUUGAGCAACCAAGUGAUACCAAUCACGACCACACCCAGAGGACAGAUGGCAGACUUAAGAACUCACACAAAAAUGUCAAGACAUGAAGGCGCCCUAGCCACACGAACUGACCACUGGUGUAAAGAACAACAUUCCAUGAAUAUCGCAAGCACCCAGACACGAAUUACCAGAAAUACACACACACACACACACUUAGGUGGGUUGGACUCCGAGGACAAAGAACACUGCCAAGGGCCAAUGGGAAGUUGACACCACCUGGAGAAUGGACCGUCCCUCCACUCAUCGACCAGUCAGGAGAGCGGACCUACCAGACUCAACGUCAACACACUGUUAUUUCAUUGUAUAAAUUAAACGCACACUAUGUUUCGGGGCUCUCUCUUCUGCUAGUUCCCUAAGAGCUAAACGAACGAGCCCGUGCACGCUCAGCCAAAUAUCUUUGUCUCAUAAUAAACUGCCUUACUAUAUACUGAAUCCACCUGGUCCAUCGUCUUGACUUGGUUUCCUUCUCAAAUAACUAAUCAUCAACAAUACCCGCACUCUCAACUUAAACUGGUGACUGAACUAAGAUUUGUUAAAGGCAAUGGUAUUGCUGUUGUGUAGUUUUGGGUACCGGUAGUUAGGAGUACGGCAAACACCUUAUUUCUUUGGUUCCUGUAAUAAAGAUAAUCUAACGUUUUACCUAAUGAUAUAUAAGGAGGGCAUUUGCACAACAUGCUUCACAACAGCACACAACAAAACUCCAAAGACAUAUUGAGCAACCAACUGAUACCAAUCACGACCACACCCAGAGACAGAUGGCUGACUUAAGCACUCACACAAACAUGUCAAGACAUGAAAGCGCCCUAGCCACAAGAACUGACCACUGGUGUAAAAAACAACAUUCCAUGAAUAUCGCAACCACCCAGACACGAAUUAGCAGAAACACACACACACACACACACACACUUAGGUGGGUUGGACUCCGAGGACAAAGGACACUGCCAAGGGCCAAUGGGAAGUCGACACCACCCGGAGAAUGGACCGUCCCUCCACUCAUCGACCAGUCAGGAGAGAGGACCUACUAGACUCAACCUACGUCUACACACUGUUAUUUCAUUGUAUAAAUUAAACGCACACUAUGUUUCGGGGCUCUCUUCUGCUAGUUCCCUAUGAGCUAAACGAAGGAGUCCGUGCACGCUU
rnacentral:lncRNA from 1 species